UAUUUUCUUUCUAAAAAAACAAAUAUGUGGCAUUAUAUCAAAAAUUCAAAUAUGCCCAGUUACAAUAUAUAUUUUUUAUAUAAUAAAGCGCAAGUCGUCUAGCAAAUAAAAAACCGACAUGUGAAAUUUUUAACAAAAUAAUUAAAAUAAAAAUAACUGAACCAAAAGAAAGAAAACACAAAUUGUUUUAACUGCUUCAACUGUUACAGCCACGAUCCCACCUCCUCAUCUUACAUUUCUGCAACAAAUUUUGUUUAUAUAAUGGUUUGAAACAGUUUAAUUUCUUCCAUGAAGUUAACCACAGCUUUCAUCUCUCAUAAGUUUUGUUUCGAUAUCAACAAUGUUCUAUCUUCUUUCUUUUUUCUCUUCAAGAAGACUAGCCUUCAAUCUUAUGGUGGCUACAAAAUUCAGCAAAGGAAUUGGAAACAAAGAAAAAUGAGAUGAAGAUAUAUGAUUAUCGGAUAUUGAGGCAGAUUGAUGAAGAAGAAACUUCAACGUAUAGGACAAUUCUCAGCUUACAGUGAAGCGAAAACAUGUUGAAAAUUAAAGUCUACGGCUAUUGAAGAAGAAAGGAAGGGAAGGGAUGCAAUAAACCCACGUCACCUGCUGGUCAUGUUUUAAUUGAUAACAGAAGCAAAAUCUUUUAACUAUUUAUUCAAAGAAGGCAACGACCAAUAUUUUUUUCUUUAAACAACAAUUAGCGUUGAAUACAUUGUAUAGAAAAUAUCAUAUGCUUAACAUAUAUUACGUAUGGUUGACAAAUUAUUUAAUAUAGAAUUUGUGAAAGCCCCAUAAUGUUUUGGACAGUAUUUUUAUAUAGUAAAUAUCAUGGGCUUAACAUAUACAAGAAUGUUUAGAUAUACUUGAGG